UCCCUCUGCCGCUGCUGCUGCUGCCUCCUCCUCGUUCACUCAGCCAGCCAGCCCUGUUUCCGCCACCGCCACUGCUUUCCUCCCCUCCCUGCAACACACAGCAGCUGGAGCUUCUCCGUCUGCCUCGUCUCGCCUCUCGGCUGCCACAGCUGAUGUCCCUCUCCGUCUCUAUCUCUCCUUUUCUCCACCCUUCCUCUGCCUCCGAGUUUCUCUUUCUUUUCCCUUUAUCAUCUAGAUGAAUCCGACUGGAGUUUGGACUUAGGCCUGCGCUAAGCAGAAGGGAACCUGCGAUCUGUGAAGAGGGCACCAUUUGAAAGAAGAUUUUCUUUUAAUGUUGAUGAGAAGGAAGACUUUAAAUGACUGCAAAAUCCUUUCUCGCAUGAGGAUCUGGUGUAACAUAUUCAUUCAAGUUUUCCCUCAUUUUAAGUUCUGCAUGGUGUACUCUAGUAAUGGAUAGAGCACCGGAGUGGGACUCAGGAGACCUGGAUUCUAUUCCUGGCUCUACCACUGGCUUGCUGGGUGACCUUGGGUAACUCACUUCAUCUCAGCUUCCCCAUCUGUAAAAGGAGGAUAAUGAUACUUACCUCCUUUGUAAAACGCUUUGAGAUCUCUAAAUAAAAAGUGAUAUACAAGA